GACGAACGCUGGCGGCGCGCUUAACACAUGCAAGUCGAGCGAAGCGGCGGACGGGUGAGUAACACGUGAGUAACCUGCCUUAGACAUUGGGAUAGCCUCGGGAAACCGAGAUUAAUACCAAAUGGUCUAAGAUGGACUCGCGUCCCAUUAGCUAGUUGGUGGGUAACGGCCCACCAAGGGGACGUUGGGUAGCCGGCCGCAGAGGGUGAGCGGACACAUUGAAACUGAGAAACGGUCCAAACGCUACGGGAGGAAGCAGUGGGGAAUAAUGCACAAUGGAGGGAGCGCUGAUGCAGCGAAGCCGCGUGAACGAAGAAGGCGUUCGAGUCGUAAAGUUCUUUUAUAUGGGAAGCGGUACCAUAAGAAAAAGCCCCGGCUAACUACGUGCCAGCAGCCGCGGUAAUUC
rnacentral:rRNA from 1 species